CAGCUUUUGCCCCUUUGGAGGCACAUCAAAUGCCCAUGUAAAUCCUUCUUUCCAUUCAGGAGAUGUACUGUGGCUAACAACCUUUGUUUGUCGAUGAGGGCCAUUCCCGAUAGACAAUCGACAGAAAGCAUUUGUACUUCCCAUAGUCUGUUUUAGGUUGUUCCCGCGCUUAAUAAUAACGGUCAGACAACCUGGUAAGCAAUGCAAAAGGCUAUCUGCUCUGUCAUGAAAACUAGGAGGG
rnacentral:misc_RNA from 1 species